CCAAAUAUCACAUCCCCUUCCUUCUCUAUAAAAGCCAGCCCUCUCACGCCUCUGAAUCGAUCAUAAGAGCACCACCGAAGACGAUAAGAUGAGGACAGUCGUCAGGAGUCGUGCUUCUCUCCUCCUCACACUCGUCAUCGUCGUCUUCCUCGUCACAGCGAGAGGGGAGACGACCCCUGUGAAGGAAGCGAAAGCGCAGAUUACAUACGGUGCCCUGCGCCCUAGCAGUCAGCCCGCGCGCCCCGGAGGACCCUAUACGAGGGGAUGCAGGAACUAUGUUUACUGCCGUCCGCCUUCGACCCCAUGAUAGGCUACUUCGGCAGCAUGGAGGAGUAGUUCCUUUGACGACGCAAAAUAUAUACAGGAGGCAGAUACGUACAAUAUAUAUAUAUAUAUAUAUAUAUAUAUAUAUAUAUAUAUAUAUAUAUAUAUAUAUAUAUAUAUAUAUAUAUAUAUAUAUAUAUAUAUAUAUAUAUAUAUAUAUAUAUAUAUAUAUAUAUAUAUAUAUAUAUAUCACUUCUCUCCUAAACUUUUUCCAUGGUUGAAAUUGUUGUUACCUUAAAAUCCCUUAGCAAUGGUAAAAGCUCUAGACCUGAUGGAUAUACUGUUGAAUUUAUAAAUUAUAUUGGACUCUGAUGUUGACCA